GCCAUAGCUCAGGGGUAAAGCAGUUGUCCUGCAUGCAGAAGAUCCUGGGUUCAAUUCUCACCAGCAGUCA